rnacentral:sRNA from 1 species
AGCUUAACUGGCCAAUCACAGGGUGCAU